GGGCCCAUAGCUCAAUCGGUUAGAGCGUCCGGCUCAUAACUGGAGGGUUCCAGGUUCGAGUCCUGGUGGGCCCA
rnacentral:tRNA from 1 species